UACGUAGGGUGCAAGCGUUGUCCGGAAUUAUUGGGCGUAAAGAGCUCGUAGGCGGUCUGUUGCGUCGGCUACGGUGAAAACCCCGGGGCUCAACCCCGGGCCUGCAGCCGAUACGGGCAGACUAGAGUUCGGCAGGGGAGACUGGAAUUCCUGGUGUAGCGGUGAAAUGCGCAGAUAUCAGGAGGAACACCGGUGGCGAAGGCGGGUCUCUGGGCCGAUACUGACGCUGAGGAGCGAAAGCCAGGGGAGCAAACGGG
rnacentral:rRNA from 1 species